CCCCAUACAUCAAUAGAUGUGAGCGGUUUCGUCUGAACGCCGACUAGCGAGCGGUGAUUGGCGGCGUGCUGGACGGCGACGUGCUCGGCGGAUAAUUCUCAUCGGAUGAUUCCCUCGCUCCCCUGUCCAUCUUUCCCCCGUCCUCUCGUGCGACUCGGAGACCGAAAGCGGCAGCGGUGAUGGAGCGUACAACGAUUUUGCGGCGGCGACCAAUCCCAAAUCCAUCCCACUGCUCAGUCGGAUAAGGCGCUUGCGACAACCAACAUUCACCGAACCAGAUUUUCCAUUUCCUCGACAGGCGGCUCCGGCACAGGAAUGAAAGUGCGCCCUAUGUUCAGAUUCCAGAAGCUAUGCCACGGCCGCCUACAAUUCCACCCAGGAUAGCUAAUUUGCAUGCAUAUUUGAUUUCUGAUCUCUUCCCAAUCUGUCAUGUUCAUUCAAUUUUAUACGGUCAUAGUUUAGCUAGGCUCCAUAUAUCCGUAGUUGCAAAACAAUUCUUGAGAUUUCUUUGGUAAAAUUUCUGGAAUAUUACAUAAUAUUGCCUGUGCCAUCAUAACCAUUUGUUUAUCCCCUAGUAUAAAAAUACCAAAGUGAGGUCUCCAUACAUACAUACGAGAAGCACCUCUUUAAUUGUAAUUUGCUGGUAGAUACAUCGACCCGUUAUUACUGGACAUGAAGUAGCUUUUACAAAUGCUAUAGGUAAUUGCGUGGAAAUUGAUCUGAGAAAUUGUUGUCGAGAUAGGUAAUUACAUACUUGAGAACAGUUGCUCUUUAAGAUUUCUUGAGCUUUAUUCCGGGUGCUCAAGUGAAGCAAUUGCUUCUCAUUGAAGGGUCUGUUUCUUUCUUGGACGGGUCAGGUUGUUCCUAUUUUCUCUUUUAUUCAGAUUGGAUUUGUAAAUCAGAAAGUGUGAUGCUCAACGAGAUUCAGGUCGCGCUAAGACAUCAACAAUCAGUGCCGACAAGCCUCCACUAUCUAUUGCAGAAAUGAAGAACCGUGUUGAUUGCUUAUCUUGAAUAUGAUUUUGGGCAAAUAGGACCUGACUAGCUUCUAAAUCUGCUGAACUGUACUGAUCAUAGUGUGAAACUAAUUUUGCUUUUGCUCUUCUAAAGGCCAUCUCACGUUGAUUCAUAAUUUGCCAGAGGAGAUGGCACAGUUGGAAGUUAUGUUCAGUUUCUUGAUCGUUAUGCUAAUUCUCUGUCCAUUUGUAAGACAGCUGUUGAUGUUCAGAAUAAUAAGGGAAGUGCCUUGCACCUGAAUGUCAAAUGAAAAAGUAGAGCUGAAGGUUGUGAUCUGUAUCCUUGCCAUGGUUGCUCCUUGCUGAUACAGGCUUUUAUAUUUGAAUGCUCGCUACUCUCGCACAUAUAUAGAUUUUUCAUUAUAGAUGCAAAUUUGGAGCUGCUUAAAUUUGCUUGCCUGUCGUUUUACUUAGCAAUCUGCAAGAAAAAGAAGGACACCAUAGAUUGCUUGGCAAUAAAGAUCGACAUAAAUUAGCAAUUUGUGUGUACCCUUAGAAGUCUAUAUAUUUAUUAAAUUCUGAAUUACUUGUGCUCGCGUCCUUAAUGUGAUGGUUGCUUUGCCUUAUGAUCAAAUUCUCAAUUGGUAAUGGUGACUACAUUAGACUGUUUAAGCAACUAAGCAAGUCAAGUCCCCUCGUGACUACAAGUCAUGAGUGCCGCUGCACUAUUCUUGUAUGUUCUUCUAUUUUCAAUGGAAGCAUUCAAUCAUAUUUGUUUUUUUCUCUCACAUCAGUUUAUAUACCUCUCCAUGGAUCAUUCAGGUGUAAAAAUAUGGAUUUUCACUUUCGACCUGCAGUAUUUGACGGUCUCUGUGUGGAGGGUUUCAGAACUUUCUCUAGGCGCAGACCUGAAUACUAGCAGUACACGCUUGCAGCUAGCAAAAAAUGCAAGAUGCAGGGUCGUGUUUUCUUUUUCCAAUGCAUGGUAUCUGUUCAGGUGGAUGACUGCUAAUUUAUGUGGGAUAGGAAUGUCUUCAUAUUUGUGGUUUUGGUGAGAAGAAAGGUGAACCUAAUGGCUACAGCACUAUCAAGAAGAAUGUUUUAAUCACUGGAGAAAUUGAGGAACAAAUGAAGUUGAUAGAAGAACGAGCAAUAAAUAUCUAUUAAACACAUAUAUAGAUUGCUUGGCUAUAAAGAUCGACAUAAAUUAGCAUUACUUGUUUUGGGCAUAGCUGAACGUACAAGCUUAAUACUACUGAAAUUCUAAAAUCGAUCAGAAGUAAUGUUUGGUUUUGUUCAUAGGUCGUCCCCUGUUUUGUCAUUCCAACUAACUGAAAGAGAUUGUAAUUGGGUCAACAAAUGGCAUACAUUUUUUUAAGCUGACAAACCUAUUUUGUUGAAAAUCUGAACUUUGUAGUUCAGUAGCUAUUGUGUAGGUGUAUUUCAAUCUUAUGGCUUUUUUUGCUUGAGAUUCGUAUACUGUAUGAUGUUGAGUUUGUUCACAUUAACCUAUGUUCCUAUUUUGCUGAGUUAUCCACUGAAAUAUGCUUAAUUUCUUCUUAAUUCCCCGUGUUUACUACCACAGUACCACUAUAUUUGAUAUGUUUUUAUUUAGUUCCAUUUAAUAUUGAUUCAGCUAUAUUAUGGGUGGCUUUGGCAUUUUCCCCUUACAAUCGUGUGUCUGACGAAUUAUGGGGAGUGCCUCUUUCACACUAAUGUUCAUUGCAAACUAAUCAUGAAAUUCAAUUACUUCAGGUCUUUACUUUCAACAUGAUCUACCUCCAAUUUUUUGCUCCUCUUGUUUCAUCACAAAGCAAUGAAGUUUAGUACUCCCUCUGUUCACUUUUAUAAGACGCUGUAGACAUUUCAGACAGUGCCUAAAACAGUUCAAUCUUAGCUGUCUGAAACGUCUUAUAAAAAUGAACGGAGGGAGUAGCAUAACUUCUAGUAGUAUUAAGAAAAUCCAUAUUGAAGGGACUUAAGAUACUUCUAUGUUUUAUUUUGAUGACACUCAGGUGUCAGACUAGUUAGACUUAGACAUUGUCGUAAAUAGUUGCUAGACACAGACUAGUUCAAUACGACGACUCCUACCAUUGAAGCUGGCACAGUUUGAUAAAAUACAUGGUUAGUGAGCAUUUAAACAAUAGUUACAGAAUUUUCUUUUUGUCUUGUUUCUCACUAUACUUUUGAUUCACCUGCAGCUAGCAUGUUAUGGGUUCAUGUGAUUCUGAUGAAUUUGGUACAUCAAAAAUCCCACUGUGAUAUCUUUGAUUUUCACAUUAUAUUAUUUCUAGUUCAGGGAAGUGAAGCCUAUUAGUCAUAAAGUGUACAUGUGCUUAUGUGAUGUUGGUAUACUUUCAAGAAUUGAAAUAUUCUAUUUUUUCAGUAUCUGUUCAAGUGGAUGACGGUUAAUGUACAAGGGAUAGAGAGUCAUGUCUUCAUAUUUAUGGUCGGUAAGAGUAAUGUGCAAUUGAAAUUCAAACCUUCGUUACUAAUAACCAGUAGCAAGGUUUAGGUUUUGUGAGAAGAAAAGUGAACCAAAGGAGAUAGUACUAUUAAUAGGAUACUGUGUUUCUUCCAGCCCAUGGAUAAGAAUGUUUCAGUCGUUGCAGAGAUAGCUGAACAGAUGAAGUUGGCGUAAAAUCUAUGGUCACCUACUGGUUCAAGAUCAAGUUCGACAGUAGUCAGUUUGCAAGUUCGAUAGCAUUCAAUUUUGUAAUAGUGAUUUCUGAAAAAUAAUAAUCAUGCUGCUGGUUACUUAGUGCUCAGUGGCAUUCAGUUACGUCCAAACGAAUUUUAUUUGUAAUCUUAAGAUGGCUUUUGUUA